UGGUCCCCGUGAUUUUGAUUUCAAGAAGUGU
rnacentral:piRNA from 1 species